GAGUGGCCUACGGGUGAGUAACGCGUGGGAAUCUACCGUGUCCUGCGGGAUACCUCCGGGUGACUGGAGUUAAUACCGAAUGCGCCCUUCGGGGGAAAGAUUUAUCGGGGUAUGAUGAGCCCGCGUUGGAUUAGCUAGUUGGUGGGGUAAAGGCCUACCAAGGCGACGAUCCAUAGCUGGUCUGAGAGGAUGAUCAGCCACAUUGGGACUGAGACACGGCCCAAACUCCUACGGGAGGCAGCAGUGGGGAAUAUUGGACAAUGGGCGCAAGCCUGAUCCAGCCAUGCCGCGUGAGUGAUGAAGGUCUUAGGAUUGUAAAGCUCUUUCACCGGAGAAGAUAAUGACGGUAUCCGGAGAAGAAGCCCCGGCUAACUUCGUGCCAGCAUCCGCGGUAAUACGAAGGGGGCUAGCGUUGUUCGGAUUUACUGGGCGUAAAGCGCACGUAAGCGGAUAUUUAAGUCAGGGGUGAAAUCCCGCAGCUCAACUGCGGAACUGCCUUUGAUACUGGGUAUCUUGAGUAUGGAAGAGGUGAGUGGAAUUCCGAGUGUAGAGGUGAUUCUUAUAUAUAUUAGCAGACACACGAGUGGAGAGGGCGUCUUGUGGGCACAUAUCUGACGGUGAGGUGAGAAAGUGGGGAGAGCACACAUGUAUAGAUACCGUGGUAGCCCACGCCAUAAACUAUGUAUUAUAGCCGUGGGCAUGUUUUCUUGUCGGUGGCGCAGCUAACGCUAUACACUUUCCGCGUGGAGAGUGCUGUCGCAAGUUUAAAUCUCAAAGGAAUGGGCGGGGCCCCGCACAAGCGGGGGAGCAUGUGUUUAAAUUAAAAGCAACGCACAGACCUUUCCCAGCUUUUGACACCGCUCGAUGGCUCAGGAGAGGUAGUUUUCCUUUGGGGGACGUGGACACAGGUGCUGCAUGGCUGUCGUCAGCUCGUGUCGUGAGAUGUUGGGUUAAGUCCCGCAACGAGCGCAACCCUCGCCCUUAGUUGCCAGCAUUAGGUUGGGCACUCUAAGGGGACUGCCGGUGAUAAGCCGAGAGGAAGGUGGGGAUGACGUCAAGUCCUCAUGGCCCUUACGGGCUGGGCUACACACGUGCUACAAUGGUGGUGACAGUGGGCAGCGAACGAGCGAUCGUGAGCUAAUCUCCAAAAGCCAUCUCAGUUCGGAUUGCACUCUGCAACUCGAGUGCAUGAAGUUGGAAUCGCUAGUAAUCGCGGAUCAGCACGCCGCGGUGAAUACGUUCCCGGGCCUUGUACACACCGCCCGUCACACCAUGGGAGUUGGUUUUACCCGAAGGUAGUGCGCUAACCGCAAGGAGGCAGCUAACC
rnacentral:rRNA from 1 species